rnacentral:lncRNA from 12 species
UACCAGUCCAUGCAUGUGCUGUUCUAACAACAGGUCUGAAGAGCCUUAAAGGAAAGGGCUUAUGCCUAAGACAGUCUUUUCCAAAAUCUGAGUUCUAACCUGGGCUUCUGGGUGGGACACAUUUCAGCUCUAGCUGUAUCACUUGUAGAUAUUUCACCAUCUAGAGGUGUCAUAUUGAUAUGAAAUAAAUCUGUCUGGUUGGUUUUUAGUUACUUUUUUCUCCAAUUUUUUUUCUUUUUUUUUUUUUUUCAGAAGAAUAGCUUAAAUUGUGGAAAUUUUUUUUUUUUUUUUUUUUUUUUUUUCAGAAGAAAGAGUGAGAAAACAGUUUGAGCCACUGGAUAUCAGGCAGCACGGCUGCAAUGCUAAUGAAAAUUUGGAACACCGUUGCAAACUGGAGUGUUUGGCAGAAGCAGGAAUUUCUCCGUGCUGUUUAUGAGGUAUAUAAAAAGAUAUGGCCAAGCCUCAAAAGUGUUUCCUGAUUCCAGCCAGUCACAAAAUGACUGUUUUACUGCUUCUGGCCAAGCACAUACCUACAUCAGGAUAAAGCACUUGUACUGAGUGUGAGAAUGCUGCAGUCUUGUGUGUGCAGAGGCAAAGCCAGUCAAAGUAGAAAGGCUCACGAGCAGAGCAGAAGAAAGGAAGGAGCAUCGUCUUGUGGGAAGCUCUCCUACACUGGCAGUGACAAUAAUAACAACAGUAAUGACAAUUCCUCCAAUUUUUAUGAUAAGAGCUUUAGCAGGAAGCGUGG